UCUCAAGUGGUGGCGGUUUACUCUAAUAAAGUUUUGCAAUUCCAGCAAUGGCACUCUUCAAUUGUGACAAUUGGUGGCGUUUUUAUGCAACAUUUUUCUCAUUCUUUCUAAAGAUGAGUUUAUAGCUUUGAAUUUCAUAUUGUGUAUAAUCAUUCAUAGUAUUAUGUUGGUAUAUUUCAUGCCUCAUGGGUGGCCAAACUUUGCGAAGAUAGGACGGAGAAUUUGCACGGUUACCGAAGUGGAGAUCUUCCUGGCUCAUCUACUUGCCGAAAGAGUCCAUCAGAAUGGUAUUAUACCAUAUCUUCAGGGACCGGUCAUGAUUCCAGAUUCGUUUUCCGAAUUCAUCGAAGUAUUUGGAAGUAGCUGUACAGAGGGGCUCAAAAGUCAUGAAGCUCUCCAAACAUAAGGAAAUAUCCAAUGAGUAAUUUUCUACAGCGUAUUUUCCAUGAUGCAAUUUGAUGUGAGACACCCUUUUUUUGUGCGAACACGAUCGUGAUCAAAGCGUGGUGAAGCAGCUCAAACGGUGGCCAAACAGGACUAGCGUCGCGAAUUGAUUUUGCGCUAGCACCUGGAAAAUCUUCAACCCACUCAUCGGGACAUCGGAAUACAACCGGCCCGGGCCCGGAAACUGUACACCCAGAUGCUGAAGAUGCCUCAUUGUCUCAUCAUGGAUGAUGAGACUUACGUCAAGGCGGACUUCUGGCAGCUUCCGGGACUGCUGUUCUUCACCGCCCAGCUCAUGUUUGAUGUUCCGGAGGAAGUAAGGAAGCAGAAACUUUCAAAGUUUGCCAAGAAAUACAUGAUUUGGCAAGCGAUCUGCUUAUGUAGCAAACGGAGUGUGCCGUUUUUGAUUACCAGGACUGUAAACGGGCAGAUCUACCUCAAGGAAUGUCUUCAGAAGCGUCUGUUCCCCAAGGAUAUCCAACGCACCGGAACUCAGGCCCAUCGGGAAUGUGUGCGUGUGAUGAGUAUUUCUCAGUUCUGACGAGCGCAUUGCCGGCUCGCUAGCUGGAUUGAGACUGUGAUAUGAAUUCGCUAAUGGCUAAUUUACACCCUAACGGAACGGCAGGUGGAGCCGAUGCAUAAGUUGUUGUUCAUAAGUUGUUCACGGUACGGGUAGGUAAGCACACAAAUGCAUGGAAAGACUGGAACGUUUCCAAUGUUCGUUAAUUUACACCGUUUACGGAUUAUGAAAUUGUAAUGUAUAGAAUACCGUUCUGAAUCAUAUUUUGGACGCUUAAGGCAUAUGAUGCAGACAACAGAUCUAAACUUUAUGCACAGGUAUUAUUUGAUUGAUAUUUUUGAUAAAUUAGUUCAAUAUGCUUUCAAACUUUCUACUUUGGUACCUAUUUGAUUGAAAACAAAAAAAAUCAUCAAUAAAAUGUUUUUGAAAUGAAGCGAAUAAGAAUCAAACUUCGGACACUAAUUAUAAAAAAAAACAAAUUUCGGACAGAUUGAAUUCAAAUUUCGGAUGCCCUAUUUUGUAAUUUUUUAGACGAAAAUUACAUUACAUUUGAUUAUAUUUUUAUAGUUAACUGCGAAACACAAUCACACAAACUGUUAACGAUGAUGAAAACUGAUGAAACACGGGAUAAAUUGAGGGGCUUAGAAUGCAAGGGGUGUAAGUGACUUGAUCGAUUUCUCUUCGUAAACUUUUUCUUUAGUUAAUAACUCAACUGCAAAAACGUUCCAAUUUGAGUUUGCUAUAGAAUACGAUAGAUGAGAUUCUGACCUAUCUUCCACAUUGUCAAAUGAAGUGGGAAAUGAGUUCCCACUCUACUUUGUUGUGCCUAAUCGGUCCCAGAAAAUGGUGUCGACAACGGUGCCGAUAUCGUGCCACUUUGCAAUAAUUUUGUCGAUCUAUCCUUUGUAUUUGACAUCUAAUUACGUGCCAACACUGUGCCAAUCUGGCACGACGUCGACCUAUUGCAACACUGCUCGACCGGUACCGUUACAUUGUAUACAAAGGUGAAACAUAAGAAAACAAAGUAAAUAAACAUUGAACCAUUUUAUUUUUAAUUUAAUUUGUACAUAUUUAUACUGAUACUAUCACUAUGCAAUAUGACUAUACUAUGAUAUACAUAACUAUACUACAGAAUCAACGACUAUACAAUAAAAUGUUAUAGCAUUAGUAAAUUUCCUCUCAGCUCAUGUUUGUAUUGGUUCGAGAAUUUACAGUAUACUGAUAAAACAUUUCGAGCCAUCAUAAUUCUAUUCCAAGUGAUUCCAUCCAGUCCAAUACUCGUGUAAUGCUUUUCUGAUUUAGACGAGGUAAAUUCACACUGAAAUAUAAAUGUAUUCACAAAUUGGUUCUAAAAUUUUAAAAAAAAAUUUAAAAAAAUAGUAAAAAAUUUUGUAAAUAAAUAUUACAUGUAAUGCAUUCGCUGAAUUGGUGACACCGGCAACUGACGAAGCAGUUCAAAUGUGAAAGUUAGGAAGUGGCAGAAACAAUGCGGUAUAUUCUGAAAUAAAAUACACGUUAGUCCAUCCUUUCAUUGAAUAUAUUUGAUUGCUGUUACCAUUGUUUUAUGAUUGUUGCCGAUUCAACCUAUUUUUUGUUUUCACAUAUGAAGAAUAUGUGUAACUGUUGCUUAGAGACAAUCUGUUCUAGAAAAAAACAUGCUGUCAAUGCAAUCAUUAGCAUAUUCUUAAAUAUACAUACCUGAUUAAAGACGCGCAACUCAAAGCCACCUUAUUUGAAUUAUAUAGUUUCCUUUAAUUCUUUAUCCUGAAUGUAUCCAUAGUUCCGUACAAGACGCUCGAGGUGUAAAGCAGCACAUUUUCACAGCGACAUAGCCGGAAUAGCAGUAUCGUUACGGCAAUCAUUGGCAGCAUUACAUGAAAAAUAUCAAGUCUCCUUAUUCCUUUUAUUUCGUAGAAACCAAAUCACGAGUGGAUAACCAAAUGUUGUUUAGAAUUCAGCUAAAAUUCAAAAAGGCGUUAAAGACAGAAUACUCUUGUUUAUUGUGAAAAUUACUUGUUUUUAAUAAUUUCCCGUCCGCUCCGCUCUCAUUUGUUUAUUCAAAUGACAGUCCAGCGUGAAAGAGAAAAAGCAAACGCCAGUGAUGCCGUUUCACUCAGUUAGAGUUAUCUUCCAGUAAUUAUGGCUGAAACUUUAGGUAGUGCUAUCUGCGGGGGACAAGGCGGGGUUGGAUUCCAUCACUUUUGUAGCACUUUUCGUCGCUCGGUCGACGUGGUGUCGAUAACUACUCGAAAAUAAUUUAGAGCGGGUUUGCUGCCGAGUUAUGACCAAAAGAGAGAGAGUCGAUGUAGAGAAAUCGAUCAAAUCACUUACACCCCUUCCAUUCUAAGCUCCUCAAUUUAAAUAUUGAUGAACGGGUAAAUUCUACGUGCUCACGCUAAGCAAACGUCAAACACAAACGAUAAUGAGUAGUGUUUGUCAGAUUUUUUGCCGAUUAUGUUAUAAUUCAAAUGUAGUUCUCAUAUGAAAUCAUAGUGAAACCAAGGGAUUACUCUAAAGAAGCAAUUGUGAUAUUAAUUUUAUAGCUAUAUCAUCAGUGCAUUAGCAUUUCAAGAUAUUAGAACAAAGUGUCCGAAAUAUGAUGUUCGAAAUAUGAUUCAGAACGGUAUUAAAUGAAUCAUAGAGAAUUUCCGAUUGCCGAUGCUAUGUAAAUCAUCAAAAUCCGUUUGUAGUGAAAAUCGUUAUUACCGUCACAUUAUCUCAUAAAAUUAGGGUAUAGACCAUUGUGAAGCUCUUAGUUAUUCGUGUAUUAAAUAAAUGCUUUUCAAACGAUAUUUUUCCGCUAAAGCUGAAAAAAACGAUCGCUUUUAUGCAAACAAUUUCUUUGAUCGCACAACGUUGCGCUAACCAGCAUUAUCAACAAAAUGGACUAAACAAAUAUCUUAUUCUUUCAUUUGAAACAAUAACAGUUCGACAUCUAUUGCUGACAAGAAAAUGGUUUAUUUCGUUCUUUCGUAUCAAUAUUUGCUCAAGUCUUAGUUCGUUGUCUAAACAUUCAUGAGCUCAAGGACCACGCUACUCUGGUCAUCGAGACUGACAAAUGUAGACUGCUACACUACGUUCAGGGACCAUUCCGAAGCUUUGCCUCGGAUCGUGUUGUGUGUGUGUGUG